UACGUAGGGUGCGAGCGUUAAUCGGAAUUACUGGGCGUAAAGCGUGCGCAGGCGGUUUUGUAAGCCAGAUGUGAAAUCCCCGGGCUUAACCUGGGAAUGGCAUUUGGGACUGCAAGGCUCGAGUGCGGCAGAGGAGACUGGAAUUCCUGGUGUAACAGUGAAAUGCGUAGAUAUCAGGAGGAACACCGAUGGCGAAGGCAGGUCUCUGGGCUGACACUGACGCUCAUGCACGAAAGCGUGGGGAGCAAACAGG
rnacentral:rRNA from 1 species